UACGUAGUGUGCAAGCGUUAAUCGGAAUUACUGGGCGUAAAGCGUGCGCAGGCGGUUUUGUAAGUCUGUCGUGAAAUCCCCGGGCUCAACCUGGGAAUUGCGAUGGAGACUGCAAGGCUUGAAUCUGGCAGAGGGGGGUAGAAUUCCGCGUGUAGCAGUGAAAUGCGUAGAGAUGUGGAGGAACACCGAUGGCGAAGGCAGCCCCCUGGGUCAAGAUUGACGCUCAUGCACGAAAGCGUGGGGAGCAAACAGG
rnacentral:rRNA from 1 species